rnacentral:rRNA from 1 species
CCAGACUCCUACGGGAGGCAGCAGUGGGGAAUAUUGGGCAAUGGGCGCAAGCCUGACCCAGCAACGCCGCGUGAAGGAAGAAGGCUUUCGGGUUGUAAACUUCUUUUAAGAGGGAAGAGAAGAAGACGGUACCUCUUGAAUAAGCCACGGCUAACUACGUGCCAGCAGCCGCGGUAAUACAUAGGGGGCAAGCGUUAUCCGGAUUUACUGGGUGUAAAGGGAGCGUAGACGGCGGUGCAAGUCCGGAGUGAAAGCCCGGGGCUCAACCCUGGGACUGCUCUGGAAACUGUAAAGCUGGAGUGCGGGAGGGGCAGGCGGAAUUCCUGGUGUAGCGGUGAAAUGCGUAGAUAUCAGGAGGAACACCGGCGGCGAAGGCGGCCUGCUGGACCGUAACUGACGUUGAGGCUCGAAAGCGUGGGGAGCAAACAGGAUUAGAUACCCGAGUA